AUUUGAGACCUUUUGUGAAAUUUUGAGAUCUUUCUCAAGCUCCCUUCUUUGGUCUUGUUUCUUUUUCCUUGUUGUUGUCCUUUUUCUUGCCAUUAUAUUCGAGUCCCAAAUCAGCAAUAUAAAUUGAUUAAUCUAUAUGUCUCAGAAAAGUAGAUAUAAGACGACAUUGACAUGUUCAGUAUUUGAUUGAAUCUUGCUCAAGAAUGCUCUGAAGGAGAUCCUACUGGUCCCUCUCAGAUCUUUUAUUCCCUUUUAGCAACGAAGACAACAUGAUGAUUUUCUUGUCAGUGAGAAGCCAUUCUUUUUCAGAUCUCCAAAUGCCUUGAUCAAUCAAGCUGAUUCUCAACUUGGAGUGCUAGUGCAUAAUCAUCCUUGUCCAACUCAAGCAAUCUCCAGGCAAAAUCGAUACCAAACUUGCAUCGUGGUCUAAUUGCAUGCCAGAGAUGAUCUCUCUUCUUUUCCUUUUGCCGCUUUAUCUUUCCCUUUCUUUUUUACCGUCACUGCCUGCUGCAAAUUUCAGACAUUCCUGGCCAUGUUUGUGGCUCAAAGAUCCCAAAAGCCAGCUUGGACUCGUCAAUGGCCACCUCCACAUCUCAGAUGCCCUCCACGCCCCCUCUCUCUUUUCCUCAGAGCAAACGUUGAUCCUUGAGCUCGGCACAAUCCCCUCCUCCUCGAUCCUUUCGUUGCCUUGUUCCUAGGUAUGCUUUCCUUUAGAAAAGCAACAAACAAAGAUGCUCUCAUUCCCUUGCUGAACUCCUGGAAUCAAUGGGAACAACUUUGCCUGCACACUAUAUAACCAACACUAAUCUCAUAAUAGUUUUACUGGUUCCCUUUGUUUUCAUGCGAUUAUUCGCUUCUCGCACACACAGAAUCAUCCUCUGCUUAUUGCAACCUAGGAGUUUGUAUGGAGACUAUAGAGCUAAAGGUGGACAUGGUUGCAUUACAUGAGAAGAGAUUGAGGAAAUGUUUGUCCAAAGUGAAAGGCUCCUUGACAACAAGAUGCCAAAUAAUGUGGUUACUAUGUGAUGCGAUUUAUGAGACAAAUUGUUGAAGAAGUUGAAAUUAUCGAAAAAGAUUCACUACGAUCUAUAUUCACACAAGCAGAGUAUUCUCGAGAAGAAAUUGAUGAGGUGCGAUCGGAGUUGGCAGAAUGUAUACAAGAUCAUAUUUAUGAGUAGGUGCGUUCAAGUUUAUUUGUAGCCAUAUGAUACUCCACUUGCUCAAUUGGAUUAUGACUAGGCAUGGAUGACAAAUAAUCGAGUCUACUUAGCCCAAGUCCAAACUUGAAUCAUGCCAAUUCAUACAGACCGAAAAGUGAAGUGUGCCUGAUCAAAAGAAAACAUAAUUUCUUAAUCUGGUAAAUGGUUUAGUGCAUUACUCUUUGCAACUGAAGCAGAUUCUUUAUGUUUCCAGUGCCUUAAGGCUGGUUGUUACAUCAUUUUCAAUAAAUCUCCUCCUUUAGCAUUUCAUUGUGCAGCACCAGCAACUUCAUAGUUAACUUUUAAAAUGCGUUACAGUGUUGCAAUGCUCUGAAGAAUAUUAAUGUCCAAACCAGAACAUUAGCAAUCGGGUAAGCACUUGAUUGUUCAUUUUAUGAUACUUUUAUCUUCAAGUGGGUCAUGAUUCACUUUACAACUUCUAUCUUUGAGGAAUAUGUACAGUUUGAGCUGCAAAGCGUGAACGCACCACCAGACCACAAGGCCCCACUGUCUGCCAGAUUUGGCUCAGCUUUAAGCUUCGGCACGCGUUUGAUUCUACCUUUCUCCUUCACGCUUGUUCUGCUUUGGUACAGUGGAGUUGGUGUGCCACACUGAUAUAUUCUAUUCUAUGGUUGUGAAUGAUGAGUGAUGAAUAUCAAAUAUAUGCAACUCUGUACGUCCAAAGCAUUUGAAGGCCCUAGCACCAGUGCACAUUAAUACUAAGUUUAUCAAGCUGGAUGCUGAAAAUGCACCAUUUUUCGUGACGAAAUUGGCAAUCAAAACACUGCCCUGUGUUAUUUUAUUCAGGAAUGGCAUUGCCUUUGAUAGGAUAGUCGACUUUCAAGAUCUUGGAAGCAAAGAUGAUUUUACUGCCAGAGCUUUAGAAAAUCUUCUUAAAAGAAAAG